CAGCGGCCUUAAUUGUGUCGCUCUUGUUCAUGUGUUCUACUCCUCUCCGUUUCUUUUUUUUUUGUCUUUUGCAGACGCGUGCUAUUAUUCCCUUCCGAUGACCUCGAUACAAGAUGGCAAUUGGCAACGAUGUUUCUUUGGAUCGCAUGGUGUCGUUAAUGUUACAACGGUAAUAACUGAGACGGACAGAUGGAAUCAGCAAUUAUUACUACUGCGAGCAGGAGAAGGAAAAAAAACGCCA
rnacentral:lncRNA from 1 species